AAAUAAUUUAGCCCACGCACCUGCACAGAAAACCCACAUCAACGAGUUUGCUUCGGCAGUCAGGCUGGGGAACCAAAGGCUAAGCCUGAAAGCAAACGUGAAAUCAAAUACGAAAAUUGCACAGCAGCCCCGCAGGAGUCAGCUAUCCAGAGGCCCCGCUGAAACCCCAUCUGUCAGUCAAUUGAUCCAAUGCUGCGACACUCCCUGAGUCGUUGCAGCAGACCAACCAAAUAACUCAAUCAACAACAACAAAACUGAGAUGCGCCGUGCAGUGGGAAAUGUUAUAACAACUUGAAUAAUGAAGAGGCCCCCGAAGGAGUGGGAAUGUAGGCGAAGGGGGAAAGGCCCAUAUUAUGGAAUAUUUAAACACUGUAAUUCGAUGCACAUUUAUUAAUUGGCUGCUUUUUAAGAGACCCUUAUUUAUGGCAGGUCUAGGAACAAUAUAGCAAGCACAGAGCUCUCAUGGCUUGUUGUGCUUUCCAUAUGUUCAGAUGAAAUGAACAUCACAUCUAAUCGUGGUGCUCCUUGCUCUUGAAGUGUCUGCCAGUACCACAUCCCUUGGGAGCUGUUACCACCAAAUUAAUAUCCUGUGGGUCACUUAACUAAAAAAACCACAUUAUAGAGGCAUUAUGUGAUUAGAUGUACUGCUUUUACAAGGCGGUUGGGGUGUGUACUUUGCCUCUGCUCCAGAAAGGAUGGCAGGGCUCAAAUACAUAGACCUCCAAGCCAGAGUCUCUGCGAGGCCAAUGACAGCACAGACACAUGUCCAAAAAUGUGACCUCCAUUAGCUGUCAGAAGCUGCUUUUACAAGAUCAACCAGGGUGACUUGCUUAGUAAGGAACAGACCUGAACAGCUGGUGGGGAUUAGCUGCUCUGAAGGGAGGUGUUUUCUGUCUCUAUCAGGCCAGCUUGUCACCAAAUGCUUGU
rnacentral:lncRNA from 1 species